rnacentral:rRNA from 1 species
UUACCUACGGGGGGCAGCAGUGGGGAAUAUUGCACAAUGGGGGGAACCCUGAUGCAGCGACGCCGCGUGGGUGAAGAAGUCAUUCGUGACGUAAAGCCCUAUCAGCAGGGAAGAAAAUGACGGUACCUGACUAAGAAGCCCCGGCUAACUACGUGCCAGCAGCCGCGGUAAUACGUAGGAUGCGAGCGUUAUCCGGAUUUAUUGGGUUUAAAGGGUGCGUAGGCGGUCCGGAAAGUCAGCGGUAAAAGCCCGGGGCUCAACCCCGGCGAGCCGUUGAAACUGUCGGACUAGAGACGGCGAGAAGU